rnacentral:rRNA from 1 species
AAAUUGAAGAGUUUGAUCAUGGCUCAGAUUGAACGCUGGCGGCAGGCCUAACACAUGCAAGUCGAACGGUAACAGGAAGAAGCUUGCUUCUUUGCUGACGAGUGGCGGACGGGUGAGUAAUGUCUGGGAAACUGCCUGAUGGAGGGGGAUAACUCCUGGAAACGGUAGCUAAUACCGCAUAACGUCGCAAGACCAAAGAGGGGGACCUUCGGGCCUCUUGCCAUCGGAUGUGCCCAGAUGGGAUUAGCUAGUAGGUGGGGUAACGGCUCACCUAGGCGACGAUCCCUAGCUGGUCUGAGAGGAUGACCAGCCACACUGGAACUGAGACACGGUCCAGACUCCUA